CACGUAGGCACCAAGCGUUGUCCGGAAUUACUGGGCGUAAAGCGCACGUAGGUGGCGACGUAAGUCGGGUGUGAAAGCCCCGGGCUCAACCUGGGAAUUGCAUUCGAGACUGCAUUGCUGGAGUACGGAAGAGGAAGGCGGAAUUCCCGGUGUAGCGGUGAAAUGCGUAGAUAUCGGGAGGAACAUCAGUGGCGAAGGCGGCCUUCUGGUCCAGUACUGACACUCAAGUGCGAAAGCGUGGGGAGCAAACAGG
rnacentral:rRNA from 1 species